rnacentral:rRNA from 1 species
UACGAAGGGGGCUAGCGUUGCUCGGAAUCACUGGGCGUAAAGCGCACGUAGGCGGGUCUUUAAGUCAGGGGUGAAAUCCUGGAGCUCAACUGCAGGCUGGCGGUCGAUACGGGCAGGCUGGAGUUCGGUAGGGGAGACUGGAAUUCCUGGUGUAGCGGUGAAAUGCGCAGAUAUCAGGAGGAACACCGGUGGCGAAGGCGGCGUUCUGGACUGUUCCUGACACUGAAAAACGAAAGCCAGGGGAGCAAACGGG